rnacentral:lncRNA from 1 species
AUGGGCCAGCGUUGCCUGGCAUCCCCGCCCCAACCAACGCCCCACACCCGCUAGUCUAAUAUCAAUAUAACAAAGGGAACACUUACCAAGAUCAUGUUCUUGCUUGAAUAAACUCUUUGCCAUGUCACUAUACUCAAAAACAAACAUAAAAAUUUAGAAAAGCAACCUACAGGUCCUAUAUUUGCAGUGAAAAUAACAAUUCACAAGGUCAAAAUUCAUCUUGAUUACACCUUUUACGGUCAAAGUCAAAACAAAAUUCACCAAGUAAUCAUGACCCAUCAAUAAAUAAACCGAUAAUACGAUUAUAAUCGGCGUAAUUUCUUUAUAAUUUAUUAAGGCAAUUAAAAUGAACAUGCGAUAUUCAAACUAAAUAAAACCCUGAUAGUAAGAUUGUUAAGUAAUCAAGUUUAUAUUCAGUAAUUCACACGUCUGAUGAUAAAGUCAAAAACUUAAAACCCACAAGAAUUAUGCGACUUUUACACAAGAUAUCCUCAGCAAGAACACAAAUAAAGAGGAACAGAGUUAAUUGCAGCAAAAGAGGAAAGAAAACAAACCUAUUUCGACGAUAUAAU